UUUUAAAUAGGCUCUCGGCGACUUUAAGUUUUUCCUUUGUAAUGAAAACUGACGAUGAUUGUUUUGUUAACCUGGAGACCAUCUUACAGCUUUCGUACUGAUUGGUUGAUCGAUAGACAGGGAAAAUGGGCCGAGCCUUAAUAUCCGGAAGUGACUUAUCCGACAUUUGCCUGCGGUGCGGGCAGCAUUAUAUCUUCGGAUAUUGCUCACUGGCUGGCAAAAAACGAGAAAUCUCUAAAACGUUAUCAGGUAUAUUAAAACCACGACGAGAUUACAAUGUUGAAAGUGACCUGUUGAUGUGUAAGGAUGUAGUUCUCAGAGUACUAGAUAUUGACA